rnacentral:pre_miRNA from 12 species
UGUGGCUGUGCCCACAUGGCACCCUGGCCAGGAUAUCAUCAUAUACUGUAAGUUUGCAAUGAGACACUACAGUAUAGAUGAUGUACUGGACGGGCCGCCCUGCGCUCCGGACCCAGGC